GCCGUGGUGGUGCAGUGGUCAGCACACCCGAUCCUAGUAACCUACGUUCCUUAACGUUCGCUCGUUCGCCUAAGUUCUCUAUCACACUCUCUUCUGGAUCGGGAGGUCGUAGGUUCGAAUCCUACUCACGGUA
rnacentral:tRNA from 1 species